CUUUUUCGAGGUGGCCGCCUGGGUGUAGUGAAGGCUGCUGCAGUUCUCUGCCUGCUGCGGUUCACGCCGUACUCUUCCUUAGUCUCGCUGCCACCCGCACUGCGCUCCUUUGGGUUGCCUCACGAUGCUACGGAAUGUUGAGCGCGGCACCAAGGCCGCGGACCUGCCGGCCUGGCAGAGCGGAGGUCCAUUAGGCCACAUCGGCCGCAGGCCCAGUGAGAGGGGCCGGACCCCUUGAAGGCCGCGCCCUGCUCCAGCCUGGCCCCGAGCGGCCCUGCGCUCCAGUGUGAUGGAACGUCCCAGCAGGUGAAUUGGUGAUAGUCGUAAUGCACGUGAUUUAGGUGAGUCUGAGGGCGGAGUGUUCCGGCUGCCGUGUGACCUAGAAUGCCCUGCGGCCCUUAUCGAAGCUGCGGCUGCUUCCACAUAGCUGCUGUGGUCAAAAAGGAGCCCAGAGUGACAGUUUUCCUUGACGGUCGCCGUUCUGUUUGCUGUAACUGAUCUGCAACAUUUCAGGAAAAGACAGUUCCCUUGGUACCUGCCAUUGCUCGGGUAUAGCUUUUAUUGACAUGUAUGGGGCUUGCGUAUAGUUAUGAGAAUAAGGCUUUUGAGAAGUAGCUUGCAGAGACAAGAACCAGCAUGGAGGGCAGAUGGGAGUGGAUUGGAUGUCUCCUGGGAAAAUCCAGUGGCAGGUGGCACAGGUCUUUGAGUCAUUGCCCUGAAAAGUUUAUGGCAUCAGUAUAGGACCAAAGGCCAGUCAGAACCUUGAUUUUUGAGACCAAAGGAAGGGACCGGUAAGUAAGAUCAUUAAGGACACGUGUGUUCUCAUCUUAGGUCUGCCAUUGAAGAGUCCAGGCUGACUGAAGUUGACCUUUCCAGUGAGGGAAGACUCAGGUCAUGACACUGAUGGAACACAGUAUUCUGAGGACCCGGUUACCCCUGGGUUUUAUUGGCAGUUCCCGAAAGUGCUGAAGUAUCUGAAGACACCAGCUUUUCCUGGAGCUGUGCUUUACACUAAGAUUUUUUAUCAGUAAAGCUGUCAUCCAUCUCUGAUUGUGGAUCUACAGUUGGGUGAGUUAAAUGUCUACCUGAAGUUUUAUCACAACUUUAUUGCAGCUUCCAGAAGUUUUUGACUGCUAUGACCCUAAGCAGUGUAGCAAAGGCUAUUCAGGUCUGGUUUUUUUUAAAUCUUAUUUUUUAAAUAUAGCAUUUAUACCUGGCCUGCCUUGCCUUGUCUGGCUUAUUUGUUGGCUUUCACAACUGGGGGACAAACAAAUGCGUACAAGGGAGUUCCCAAUGUGGUUCAGGGGUUAAGAACCUUGGCUUGAGCUCAUGCCUCUCCUGUGGGAGGGUGGGAGAGUAGCUCAGGGUAUUUUUUCCAGGCUGUGACUGGUCCAGGAUGAAACCUUAUCUGAGUGGACAUCUGUGGAUGAUAAAUGCGGAUAUGGGACUGAGACCGGCUCUUAGGAAAAUGCUUGAGUAGCAUUGAUUAAUUGGGGCAGUACUAACACACUGGCUUAUACUUCCUUUUCAGGAGAGAGACACUACACAAAGAGGCAAAUGAAGAGACAAGAAGCUCUUUUAGGUGUAAAAACUGACUUUUUGCACAUGUUGGUACAUGGUGUAUAAAUGACCAAUAAAAGACUCCUGGA
rnacentral:lncRNA from 1 species